UCUGGUUGAUCCUGCCAGUAGUUAUAUGCUUGUCUCAAAGAUUAAGCCAUGCAUGUCUAAGUACACACGAAUUAAAAGUGAAACCGCAAAAAGCUCAUUAUAUCAGUUAUGGUUCUUUAGAUCGUUAACAGUUACUUGGAUAACUGUGGUAAUUCUAGAGCUAAUACAUGCAAUUAAAACAUGAACCUUAUGGGACAUGUGCUUUUAUUAGGCUAAAACCAAGCGAUCGCAAGAUCGUUAUAUUGGUUGAACUCUAGAUAACAUGCAGAUCGUAUGGUCUUGUACCGACGACAGAUCUUUCAAAUGUCUGCCCUAUCAACUUUUGAUGGUAGUAUCUAGGACUACCAUGGUUGCAACGGGUAACGGGGAAUCAGGGUUCGAUUCCGGAGAGGGAGCCUGAGACGCGGCUACCACAUCUAAGGAAGGCAGCAGGCGCGUAAAUUACCCACUCCCAGAUCGGGGAGGUAGUGACGAAAAAUAACAAUACAGGACUCAUAUCCGAAGCCCUGUAAUUGGAAUAAGUACACUUUAAAUCCUUUAACAAGGACCAAUUGGAGGGCAAGUCUGGUGCCAGCAGCCGCGGUAAUUCCAGCUCCAAUAGCGUAUAUUAAAGUUGUUGCGGUUAAAACGUUCGUAGUUGAACUUGUGCUUCAUACGGGUAGUACAACUUACAAUUGUGGUUAGUACUAUACCUUUAUGUAUGUAAGCGUAUUACCGGUGGAGUUCUUAUAUGUGAUUAAAUACUUGUAUUUUUUCAUAUGUUCCUCCUAUUUAAAAACCUGCAUUAGUGCUCUUAACCGAGUGUUAUUGUGGGCCGGUACUAUUACUUUGAACAAAUUAGAGUGCUUUAAGCAGGCUUCAAAUGCCUGAAUAUUCUGUGCAUGGGAUAAUGAAAUAAGACCUCUGUUCUGCUUUCAUUGGUUUUCAGAUCAAGAGGUAAUUAUUAAUAGAAGCAGUUUGAGGGCAUUAGUAUUACGACGCGAGAGGUGAAAUUCUUGGACCGUCCUAAGACUAACUUAAGACUUAUGUUUUCAUUAAUCAACGGACGGCACGGACUUGGGGAAUCCGACUGUCUAAUCAAAACAAAGCAUUGUGAUGGCCCUAGCGGGUGUUGACACAAUGUGAUUUCUGCCCAGUGCUCUGAAUGUCAAAGUGAAGAAAUUCAAGUAAGCGCGGGUCAUCGGCAGGAGUAACUAUGACUCUCUUAAGGAGGACCAAUAUGAACCAAACGCAGCGGUUACUCUAGCUAGGGUUCCCUGCACAGUAUGUGGCCGGUCCUUUAACAGCAAGAGAGGACUCGGUGUUCACAUGCGAUCUCGGCACCCAGACGAACUUGAUGAAGAACGUCGACGUGUCGAUAUAAAGGCAAGAUGGAGUGAUGAAGAGAAGUGGAUGAUGGCGAGAAAGGAGGUUGAGCUCACAGCAAAUGGAUGUAAACACAUAAACAAGCAACUAGCGGAGUAUUUUGCAAACCGCAGCGUCGAAGCCAUCAAAAAGCUAAGACAGAGGGGCGAUUAUAGAGAGAAAAUAGAGCAGAUAAGAGGGCAAUCAGCUCUCGCCCCGGAAGUUGCUAAUCUAACCAUAAGGCGCCGCCCUAGUAGAAGUGAGCAAGACCACCAAGUAACAACAUCGGAAACAACUCCAAUCAUUCCCUUCGAACAGUCGAACAGGGAAAUUUUGCGGACACUGCGCGGGUAUAGCCCCGUAGAAUACCAUUCCAAAUGGAGAGCCCAAGAGUUGCAAACCAUCAUUGAUAGGGCACAUCUCGAGGGAAAGGAA
rnacentral:rRNA from 1 species